CGCCGCCGGCGCCCUCCAUGGUGAAUCGGUCCCCGCGAUGCCUUCACGGCGGGCGGCCCCCAGGCUCGCUCCGGCCUAAGCGCUGGCUCCCUCCACACGCGGAGAGAGAAGGAAAGACUACAUUUCAACUGUCAAUUGGUUGAUCACCUGGAUUUUAUCUACACCUUAGCCUAUGGUUGUUCAUCUCGUCUCUGCCUAUGGUCCAUUGACUCCUGGAUCCCAGCUCCAUUUUUUAGUACUUUACACACCCUGCUUCCAGUACCCCAACCGGAAGAAUAUAUAUAGCAGUUAACUGUCAGCUGGCAAAAAGGAGGAAAAUUGAGGAAGAUAAAAUAGCUGGAUGAAUUAUCCCAGCUCCAGAACGCAGAGGAAAAAUUAAAUGGCCAGACCCAGAUGUUAAAAAUGUGUUCCUUGCUCUUCCCUGCCCUAGCAAGGGCUGUUCCAUGUUUAGGGGAUGAAUGCCGCUGAGAGUAUUAGCAAAAAUACAUGUGUCUGAGGAAGAUAAUUGAGACAUACAGGUAUUCCUCAUAAUGCAUGUGGGCAUCCAUAGACGUAUUCUUAAAUGGCUUAAGGACUUGGAAACUACCUCUAGGAAACCUGAAACUUGAAUGUUGGUCCACUAGGGAGAAGAAAUGUUU
rnacentral:lncRNA from 1 species